AGUUAUCAUUGGAGGGGAUUUUAAUGGACACAAUGAAACCAAUAACAGAGGCAUAGAAGGAAUCCAUGGAGGGCAUGGUUUUGGAGACAUGAACGAGGAAGGUGAACAAAUCAUUGAUUUUGCUAUGGCUUUAAACUUUUCCCUGGCCAACCCUUUCUUCAACAAGAAAGAAGAACACUUGAUACCUUCAGUAGUAGUGGAAAUAGCAGACAGACUGACUAUUUUCUGUACAAGAGAAAAUAUAUGAAGGAAGUGAAGAAUUGCAAAGUCAUCCUUAGUGAUCACACGACAACACAACACUGUCCAAUGCUCAUAGAUUUCCACCUUUUGAUGCCUGCAGUCAGGGAGAAAGUAAAGACUAAGGCUAAGGUGAAGAAGACCAAGUGGUUCAAACUAAAGGACACAGUUUUGAGGAACAGAUUUGAGGAAGCAGUCCUGCAGAGAG
rnacentral:lncRNA from 1 species